UACGUAGGGGGCAAGCGUUGUCCGGAAUCAUUGGGCGUAAAGCGCGUGUAGGCGGUCCGGUAAGUCCGCUGUGAAAGUCGGGGGGCUCAACCCUCGGAUGCCGGUGGAUACUGUCGGGCUUGAGUACGGAAGAGGCGAGUGGAAUUCCUGGUGUAGCGGUGAAAUGCGCAGAUAUCAGGAGGAACACCAAUUGCGAAGGCAGCUCGCUGGGACGUUACGACGCUGAGACGCGAAAGCGUGGGGAGCAAACAGG
rnacentral:rRNA from 1 species